rnacentral:rRNA from 1 species
AUUGAACGCUGGCGGCAGGCCUAACACAUGCAAGUCGAACGGUAACAGGAAACAGCUUGCUGUUUCGCUGACGAGUGGCGGACGGGUGAGUAAUGUCUGGGAAACUGCCUGAUGGAGGGGGAUAACUACUGGAAACGGUAGCUAAUACCGCAUAACGUCGCAAGACCAAAAGAGGGGACCCUCGGGCCUCUUGCCAUCGGAUGUGCCCAGAUGGGAUUAGCUUGUUGGUGGGGUAACGGCUCACCAAGGCGACGAUCCCUAGCUGGUCUGAGAGGAUGACCAGCCACACUGGAACUGAGACACGGUCCAGACUCUACGGAGGCAGCAGUGGGGAAUAUUGCACAAUAGGGCGCAAAGCCUGAUGCAGCCAUGCCGCGUGUAUGAAG